GAUGAACGCUAGCGGCAGGCUUAACACAUGCAAGUCGAGGGGCAGCGAGAGUGAUAGCAAUAUUACUUGUCGGCGACCGGCGCACGGGUGCGUAACGCGUAUGCAACCUACCAUCAACAGGGGGAUAACACUGAGAAAUUGGUACUAAUACCCCAUAAUAUCUCAUGCGGCAUCGCAUGGGGUUGAAAACUCCGGUGGUUGAUGAUGGGCAUGCGUUGUAUUAGCUGGUUGGUGAGGUAACGGCUCACCAAGGCGACGAUACAUAGGGGGACUGAGAGGUUAACCCCCCACAUUGGUACUGAGACACGGACCAAACUCCUACGGGAGGCAGCAGUGAGGAAUAUUGGUCAAUGGACGCAAGUCUGAACCAGCCAUGCCGCGUGCAGGAUGACGGCUCUAUGAGUUGUAAACUGCUUUUGUACGAGGGUAAACCCCGAUACGUGUAUCGGGUUGAAAGUAUCGUACGAAUAAGGAUCGGCUAACUCCGUGCCAGCAGCCGCGGUAAUACGGAGGAUCCGAGCGUUAUCCGGAUUUAUUGGGUUUAAAGGGUGCGUAGGCGGUUUGAUAAGUUAGAGGUGAAAUGUCGGGGCUCAACCCCGAAACUGCCUCUAAUACUGUUGGACUAGAGAAUAGUUGCGGUAGGCGGAAUGUAUGGUGUAGCGGUGAAAUGCUUAGAGAUCAUACAGAACACCGAUUGCGAAGGCAGCUUACCAAACUAUAUCUGACGUUGAGGCACGAAAGCGUGGGUAGCAAACAGGAUUAGAUACCCUGGUAGUCCACGCAGUAAACGAUGAUAACUCGUUGUCGGCGAUACACAGUCGGUGACUAAGCGAAAGCGAUAAGUUAUCCACCUGGGGAGUACGUUCGCAAGAAUGAAACUCAAAGGAAUUGACGGGGGCCCGCACAAGCGGAGGAACAUGUGGUUUAAUUCGAUGAUACGCGAGGAACCUUACCCGGGCUUGAAAGUUAGCGACGACGCUUGAAAGAGCGUUUCCCUUCGGGGCGCGAAACUAGGUGCUGCAUGGUUGUCGUCAGCUCGUGCCGUGAGGUGUCGGGUUAAGUCCCAUAACGAGCGCAACCCCUACUGUUAGUUGCCAUCAGGUGAUGCUGGGCACUCUAGCGGGACUGCCGGUGUAAGCCGAGAGGAAGGUGGGGAUGACGUCAAAUCAGCACGGCCCUUACGUCCGGGGCCACACACGUGUUACAAUGGUAGGUACAGAGGGCAGCUACCCUGCGAAGGGGUGCGAAUCUCGAAAGCCUAUCUCAGUUCGGAUUGGAGGCUGAAACCCGCCUCCAUGAAGUUGGAUUCGCUAGUAAUCGCGCAUCAGCCAUGGCGCGGUGAAUACGUUCCCGGGCCUUGUACACACCGCCCGUCAAGCCAUGGGAGCUGGGGGUGCCUGAAGUUCGUGACCGCAAGGAGCGACCUAGGGCAAAACCGGUGACUGGGGCUAAGUCGUAACAAGGUAGCCGUACCGGAAGGUGCGGCUGGAACACCUCCUUUCUGGAGCUUUGUUUCAAAGGUAGCUGCUCGAACUUCAAAGAAACGUUACAACAGCAUCGCUUUCAGGCGUAGGUUCGAACCGCAUGCUGUUCAUCGCAGAGCGAUCUGCAAUGUUCAUUGACACGAUUAAGGAGAUGAGAAACAAGUAUACGGAUUAUCAAUAGGGUUCGUAUACGGCAAGAAAGUAAUGAAGGGCGUAUGGGGGAUGCCUAGGCUCUUGGAGGCGAAGAAGGACGUGGUAAGCUGCGAAAAGCUUCGGGGAUUCGCAAACUGGAAUUGAUCCGAAGAUAUCCGAAUAGGAGAACCUGGCAGGCAGAAGGCCUGUCGCACCGCGAGGUGGGCCAACCCUCUGAACUGAAACAUCUUAGUAGGAGGAGGAAAAGAAAGAAACAUCGAUUUCCAAAGUAGCGGCGAGCGAAAUGGAAGAAGCCUAAACCAUGGUUGUUACGGCAAUCAUGGGGUUGUAGGACUGCGAAAUUCGCGUAACGAAGAACUGGAAUGGUCUGGAAAGUCCAUCCAUAGAGAGUGAAAGGCUCGUACAGGUAAUUCAGUUACAAGAUAGCAGUAUCCUGAGUAGGGCGGGACACGAGGAAUCCUGUCUGAAUCUGCCGGGACCACCCGGUAAGGCUAAAUACUCCCAAGAGACCGAUAGUGAACC
rnacentral:rRNA from 1 species